AUCCAGGGGUUGUGGUGGGAUUAGGGAUAACUAGAGUUGGGAUAUGUUUAGUAUUUAAGGUUGUAGGUGGGCUUAUAAUCUUAUAUUAUUUAUGUAAUAUAGAAUAGAAUAUUCGGUGCAUAUGUAUGUGGUUAAAAAAAUGUAUACGUGGAUGACUCCAUCAAGAGAAAGACGUCACCUAAUUUCUGAUUUGCAACUAGAAACCUUUUAAUCGAUGGGACAGAACCAGAUAAAAUGUGAUACAAAUGUCUGAUAUUGAAUUAUAUCAAAAUAAAUGUUAGUUAACUAAUUUAUCUCUCAAAUAUGAUUAUUACACAAAUA
rnacentral:lncRNA from 1 species